UAAAGAGGAGACGAGCGUCUACGCAGCGAUAGAGCUCGGAGGAAUAUUUCAGACGUACAGUACCCGGAAGUAUGCGAAAUUACCGGGGGCUGUAGCUGGAGAACCGCUGGACCGAUCCUGGAGAUCACCACCUCUAUUUUAAGUCAUUUUGAAGGUUGUUAAUUCCACGGUGAAGACCCAUCUUGUGUUUAAUAGAAUAAUCCAGAUUAAUCGUACACUUCAUCAUUCUCCUGGAUUCCUCAACCGUGAAAGGAAAGUCUUGAGAGAGAAACUUUUGAAAGAUCUCUGGAUCUCCAUCUAAGUCCAAAAGAUUCUUCAGCCCAGUUUUUAAAACAUUGAAGGAUCCAGCUUAGUCUACAAGGCCACUGGUUGCAGAGAAGAACCCAAGCUGCUAUGGACUUAGAAGGCAUGGUGCCCCAUGGUAUUUUGCUUAGCAUCAUCAAGUGGAC